GUGAUUAAAUCGAGCGUGUCUUCAUUGACCGCUCACCCUUCUCACCAUCCACAUACACCUGUGCACUGUUUAGUCUGAGCCGGUUUUCCGGUCCAGGUUAUCAUUUCAUACAAACUCUAGUCUUAUGAAUGUAAACGUUUUAAUAACAUAAUA
rnacentral:misc_RNA from 1 species